AUCCCAUGAUGAGGACAAGCGGCGACGUACUCCUGUAGACGCUCCCAAGCUUUUGGUAUGGAUUCAUCCUUUAUCUGCUGGAAGUUAGAAAUCCUCCCACAAAGGGA
rnacentral:snoRNA from 1 species